GUGCUUGCUUCGGCAGCACAUACACUACAACUGGAAGGAUGCAGAGUUCCUUAGCAUGGCACUGCACAAGGAUGACACAGGAAUUGGUGAAGCUGGGUUACAUCGU
ensembl:snRNA U6 U6 spliceosomal RNA